CUCGGCUGGCGGUGGCGUCUCGAAAGUUGUGCUGAAAACCCAGAGGCCGUGACAUGAUUAAUCGUUUUCUUCUGAUCUAAUUUUGGAACAUGAAAAACAGCACAUUUGUCUUGAAGAAAAAUGAUGUGCCGAACUGCGCAGAUGGAAAUUUCGAGCAAUGAGAAAGAUUAAAGUGAAACCCCACUCCUUA